rnacentral:rRNA from 1 species
UGGGGAAUCUUGCACAAUGGGGGAAACCCUGAUGCAGCGACGCCGCGUGAACGAUGAAGCCCUUCGGGGUGUAAAGUUCUUUCGACAGGAACGAUAAUGACGGUACCUGGAGAAGAAGCUGCGGCUAACUACGUGCCAGCAGCCGCGGUAAUACGUAGGCAGCGAGCGUUGUUCGGAGUUACUGGGCGUAAAGAGUGCGUAGGCGGCGAGCCAAGUUUGGUGUGAAAUCUCCCGGCUUAACCGGGAGGGUGCGCCGAAAACUGGUUGGCUGGAGUAUGGGAGAGGAAAUCGGAAUUCCUGGUGUAGCGGUGAAAUGCGUAGAUAUCAGGAGGAACACCUGCGGUGUAGACAGCUUUCUGGACCAAAACUGACGCUGAGGCACGAAAGCGUGGGUAGCAAACA